rnacentral:rRNA from 1 species
UAAUACGGAGGGUGCAAGCGUUAUCCGGAAUUACUGGGUUUAAAGGGUGCGUAGGCGGUUAUGUAAGUCAGCAAGUGAAAUUCCACAGCUUAACUGUAGGGACUGCUUUUGAUACUGCAUGACUUGAACCAAGAUGAGGUAGGCGGAAUGUGGCAUGUAGCGGUGAAAUGCAUAGAUAUGCCAUAGAACACCGAUUGCGAAGGCAGCUUACUAGACUUGUGUUGACGCUGAGGCACGAAAGCGUGGGGAGCGAACAGGAUUAGAUACCCUGGUAGUCCACGCCCUAAACGAUGCUAACUCGACGUGUGGAAGAGAUUUUGCGCGUCCAAGCGAAAGCGAUAAGUUAGCCACCUGGGGAGUACGUUCGCAAGAAUG